UUUUUUAAUUGAGGACUGGAAUGAAAGGUUGAUACUGAAGGGAAUGUUUUUUAAAAUGAAUUUGAAUUUAAUUUAAAAGUAAGAAAGCUUUUAUGAAUCCUUGGGACGAGAAGACCCUAGAAGUUUAAAAUAAAUAUAUUUUUAAUUGGGGUAAUUAUUGAAGAUAAAGAUUUUUAAUUGAAAAUUAUAAGGUAGGGAAAUUACUCUAGGGAUAACAGCGUAAUUUAGUUGAUGAGUUCUUAUUAAGAAUUAAGUUUGCGACCUCGAUGUUGAAUUAAAUUAAAUUUAUGGUGAAGGGGCUAUUAUAUUUAGUCUGUUCGACUAUUAAAAAUUUACGUGAUCUGA
rnacentral:rRNA from 1 species